rnacentral:snRNA from 1 species
GCGCUCACUUCGGCAGCACAUAUGCUAACACUGGAACGAUACAGAGAAGAUUAGCAUGGCCCCUGCGCAAGCAUGACACACAAAUUCAUGAAGUGUUCCCUGUUUUU